ensembl:snoRNA SNORA70 Small nucleolar RNA SNORA70
UCUAAACCAAUUAAGCCCACCGGGUUCCUCUUUUCAUGGGGCCCAGUGUGCCAUGGCUGCACAUAGUAGCCUCCUUGCUAGUGGAUGCAGUCUGUUGCUUGUGCAGGUUGCCCUAGGGACCUUGAAGACAGUU